UACGUAGGGUGCGAGCGUUAAUCGGAAUUACUGGGCGUAAAGGGUGCGCAGGCGGUUCUGCAAGUCAGGCGUGAAAGCCCCGGGCUUAACCUGGGAAUGGCGCUUGAAACUACAGGACUGGAGUAUGGCAGAGGGAGGUGGAAUUCCACGUGUAGCGGUGAAAUGCGUAGAGAUGUGGAGGAACACCGAUGGCGAAGGCAGCCUCCUGGGCCAAUACUGACGCUCAUGCACGAAAGCGUGGGGAGCAAAC
rnacentral:rRNA from 1 species